GACGAACGCUGGCGGCGUGCUUAACACAUGCAAGUCGAACGGAAAGGCCCUGCUUUGGUGGGGUGCUCGAGUGGCGAACGGGUGAGUAACACGUGAGUAACCUGCCCUUGACUUUGGGAUAACUUCAGGAAACUGGGGCUAAUACCGGAUAGGAGCUACUGCUGCAUGGUGGGGGUUGGAAAGUUUCGGCGGUUGGGGAUGGACUCGCGGCUUAUCAGCUUGUUGGUGGGGUAGUGUCUUACCAAGGCUUUGACGGGUAGCCGGCCUGAGAGGGUGACCGGCCACAUUGGGACUGAGAUACGGCCCAGACUCCUACGGGAGGCAGCAGUGGGGAAUAUUGCACAAUGGGCGGAAGCCUGAUGCAGCAACGCCGCGUGCGGGAUGACGGCCUUCGGGUUGUAAACCGCUUUCGCCUGUGACGAAGCGUGAGUGACGGUAAUGGGUAAAGAAGCACCGGCUAACUACGUG
rnacentral:rRNA from 1 species